rnacentral:rRNA from 1 species
CACGAACGCUGGCGGCAGGCUUCACACAUGCCAGUCGAACGCCCCGCAAGGGGAGUGGCAGACGGGUGAGUAACGCGUGGGAACAUACCCUUUCCUGCGGAAUAGCUCUGGGAAACUGGAAUUAAUACCGCAUACGCCCUACGGGGGAAAGAUUUAUCGGGGAAGGAUUGGCCCGCGUUGGAUUAGCCAGUUGGUGGGGUAAAGGCCUACCAAGGCGACGAUCAAUAGCUGGGCUGAGAGGAUGAUCAGCCACAUUGGGACUGGGACACGGCCCAAACUCCUACGUGAGGCAGCAGUGGGGAAUAUUGGACAAUGGGCGCAAGCCUGAUCCAGCCAUGCCGCGUGAGUGAUGAAGGCCUUAGGGUUGUAAAGCUCUUUCACCGAUGAAGAUAAUGACGGUAGUCGGAGAAGAAGCCCCGGCUAACUACGUGCCAGCCGCCGCAGUAAGAC